rnacentral:rRNA from 1 species
GAUGAACGCUGGCGGCGUGCCUAAUACAUGCAAGUCGAGCGAACGGACGAGAAGCUUGCUUCUCUGAUGUUAGCGGCGGACGGGUGAGUAACACGUGGAUAACCUACCUAUAAGACUGGGAUAACUUCGGGAAACCGGAGCUAAUACCGGAUAAUAUUUUGAACCGCAUGGUUCAAAAGUGAAAGACGGUCUUGCUGUCACUUAUAGAUGGAUCCGCGCUGCAUUAGCUAGUUGGUAAGGUAACGGCUUACCGAGGCAACGAUGCAUAGCCGACCUGAGAGGGUGAUCGGCCACACUGGAACUGAGACACGGUCCAGACUCCUACGAGAGGCAGCAGUAGGGAAUCUUCCGCAAUGGGCGAAAGCCUGACGGAGCAACGCCGCGUGAGUGAUGAAGGUCUUCGGAUCGUAAAACUCUGUUAUUAGGGAAGAACAUAUGUGUAAGUAACUGUGCACAUCUUGACGGUACCUAAUCAGAAAGCCACGGCUAACUACGUG